rnacentral:lncRNA from 1 species
GGGCGCGGCGAGGCCUACAGCCGCCGGCACCGGCCGCGGGGAGACAGGGGCUGGGGCUGGACGAGGCCCAAGCGCCUCUCCCGCACCGCGCGGUUCACCAGGCCUAGGACUCGGCCACAGAGAACCCCUCUCCACAGGCCCAAGGACCGCCGCUGCCGUUGGGCUCCGGGUCCCGCGUUGGCAAGCGGAGGGCAGUAGGAGAAAGCCGCCUCAGAAUCCGCUUCCACGCCCUGGCCGCUAGGGACUCCUAGCGGAAGUGGCUACUCGCUGCUGGAGCCCACAACAACUCCGGGCGGAAGCAGCAGGUCUCGAAACUCGGAAGACGCGGAAGUCGCAGCCGGAAGUUGGUCCUCGCUAGGUCCUCUGGAAAUGCCUCCGGAAACACAGCCAGACCAGAAGAUGUGUGUUCCUACGAGAAAAAAAGCUUGUCUUUGCCUUCACGCCCUCCCGCUGCCUUUCUUAACCACCUACAAAUAUUCCUUAUCAGAAGAGGUCCGGGAAGAGGGAGGAGGUCCCUGUCUUGCCUUCCUCCGCUUGAGUAGUAUCCCCUCCAGAAGCUCUUCAGAGCGUGGGGCUGCUGUAAAUUGUGAUAAUUGUUAUGCAUUAGCCCUGAAGACAUGGCAAGUAGGGGAUGGAGGCGGUGACUGUGACCUUACGGAAUCCUCCAGGGGUCAGGGAGGGACACAGGGCCACUCCACAGGCUCUCCGAGAGCGCCGCGCCACGAGGUGUAACCUGGAGCAAGAAAGAGGAAAAACAGGAAUACCUGUGAGAGGAACCCAAGUACAUGCAGUGCACAGAAGAGCAAGUCACUUGACUUGCUGGCGGCCACCCCGUUAAUCUGCAGCAGAGCCUGGACUUCAGUCUGCAUCUGUGAAACCCAGCGCAUGGGUGCGUUGGUCACCACCGCACAGCCUCCCCGUCAGACACCCACGUUUCGCCAAAAAUUUAUUCAAAUAAUUACUCCUUUGC